GAUGAACGCUGGCGGCGUGCCUAAUACAUGCAAGUCGAACGAGGUCUUCGGACCUAGUGGCGAACGGGUGAGUAACACGUUGGUACCUACCCCGAAGUGGGGAAUAACUGCCCGAAAGGGUGGCUAAUACCGCAUAAUACCGCAAGGUUAAAGCAGUAAUGCGCUUCGGGAGGGGCCUGCGUCCCAUUAGCUAGUUGGUAGGGUAAUGGCCUACCAAGGCGACGAUGGGUAGCUGGAUCGAGAGGUUGACCAGCCACACUGGGACUGAGAUACGGCCCAGAAUCCUACGGGAGGCAGCAGUAGGGAAUCUUCCACAAUGGACGAAAGUCUGAUGGAGGAACGCCGCGUGCAGGAGGACGGCCUUCGGGUUGUAAACUGCUUUUAUACGGGAAGAUUAUGACGGUACCGUAUGAAUAAGGACCGGCUAACUACGUGCCAGCCGCCGCCGUAA
rnacentral:rRNA from 1 species